rnacentral:rRNA from 1 species
UACGGAAGAUCCAAGCGUUAUCCGGAUUUAUUGGGUUUAAAGGGUGCGUAGGCGGAUUGAUAAGUUAGAGGUGAAAUGUCCGAGCUCAACUCGGGAACUGCCUCUAAUACUGUUGAUCUAGAGAGUAGAUGCGGUAGGCGGAAUGUAUGGUGUAGCGGUGAAAUGCUUAGAGAUCAUACAGAACACCGAUUGCGAAGGCAGCUUACCAAUCUAUAUCUGACGUUGAGGCACGAAAGCGUGGGGAGCAAACAGG